UCAAAGUGGCUAUACAGUAGACUAUACCAUGUUAGAUAUAACCAAGUGACUGAAACCAAGCCCAGCGGUCCUAGUUACAAGCCUGUGUCUCUCUCUAAACCGGCCCAGACUAGCUACCAGCCUUUAGCCUCCCAGAGCACUGUCAAAUCUCCAUCUGAGCCAGGGCAGAGUUCCUCACAGUCUUUAAGUCAGUAUAGUUCUGGAAGAGUUGAUCAGCUUAGAAAUGGCUACAAGCCAGGUAGCUAUGGACAAAAUGCUAACAGCCUUAUUCAAGGUAGCAGAUUGUCCAGCCAAAGUAGCUUUAGGCCAGCACAGACCCAUUACAGCAAACCUGUGCAGACCUACCAGCAAACUCCGAGCAGCUCAAAACCAGUAAAUGUAAGAAAGCCAAUUGCCUAUAGCCAACUGCCUGCUCAGCCAGUUCAAGAAGUUGGCAAACCUUUGCCUCAGAGCCACUCUGUGCCAUCCACAAGCUCAUUUCAGAGCUCUAGCCAGGCUUCCAGGUCUCCUAAAACUACCUACAAUCCCAAACAGGGCAACUACCAGACAUCCCAAAAGCAAUGGAAGCCACACGCUGCAUCUAGACCUGCCAGCACCCAGAAACCAGCAUCUCCAGCUAAGCCAGUGCAGACACGUAGGCCAGCACUGAACAAGCCAUCCCAGACAAUGUUCAGCCAAGUUCAGAACUGGCAUCAACCAUCCACUUCAGUUUCUAGUGGUGAUUCAUUUGCCAAGCCUGAACAGAAGCAUCAGCCUUCCAAAUCAGCACAGGGUAACUACCAGUCCUUCUUAAGUAGAUUCUCAGGAGACUCUGUAGCCCCCAAUGCAGAGGGUGUCAAAAUUAAGCAAAGUCAGUCCAGCGUCGGCAUGAACCAUCUUCUACAGUUUCUAGUGGUAAUGUGUAUUCUAAACCUGUGCAGAACCUCCAGAGACCCAAACCAGCACAAGGCAAUUACCAGUCCUUCCACAGCCACUUCCCUGGAAGUGGUGCAGCCCAACCUACUGCCAGUGCCUGGAAACCAGAAAAAAAGCUGGCAUCAGCCGUCUCCUCAAGCCUCCUCCAAUCCUAACUACUCUAACCUGGGCAGAGCCAGGAGACCUCCAAACCAGCUCAGGGUAACUACCAGUUCCAGACUGGUUGAGUGUCCCAACACACUCUGA
rnacentral:lncRNA from 1 species